UACGGGAGGCAGCAGUGGGGAAUAUUGCACAAUGGGCGCAAGCCUGAUGUAGCCAUGCCGCGUGUAUGAAAAAGGCCUUCGGGUUGUAAAGUACUUUCAGCCGUGAGGAAGGUGUUAAGGUUAAUAACCUUAGCAAUUGACGUUAGCGACAGAAGAAGCACCGGCUAACUCCGUGCCAGCAGCCGCGGUAAUACGGAGGGUGCGAGCGUUAAUCGGAAUUACUGGGCGUAAAGGGCACGCAGGCGGUUAAUUAAGUUGGAUGUGAAAUCCCCGGGCUUAACCUGGGAAUGGCAUUCAAGACUGGUUAGCUAGAGUCUUGUAGAGGGGGUAGAAUUCCAUGUGUAGCGGUGAAAUGCGUAGAGAUGUGGAGGAAUACCGGUGGCGAAGGCGGCCCCUGGACAAAGACUGACGCUCAUGUGCGAAAGCGUGGGGAGCAAACAGGGAUUAGAUACC
rnacentral:rRNA from 1 species